rnacentral:rRNA from 1 species
GAACCAGACUCCUACGGGAGGCAGCAGUGGGGAAUAUUGCACAAUGGGGGGAACCCUGAUGCAGCGACGCCGCGUGAGUGAAGAAGUCUUUCGGUCUGUAAAUCUCUGUCAGCAGGGAAGAAGAAAGACGGUACCUGACCAAGAAGCCCCGGCUAACUACGUGCCAGCAGCCGCGGUAAUACGUAGGGGGCAAGCGUUAUCCGGAUUUACUGGGUGUAAAGGGAGCGUAGACGGCAGGGCAAGUCUGAAGUGAAAGCCCGGGGCUCAACUCCGGGACUGCUUUUGAAACUGUAUGGCUAGAUUGCAGGAGAGGCAAGUGGAAUUCCUAGUGUAGCGGUGAAAUGCGUAGAUAUUAGGAGGAACACCAGUGGCGAAGGCGGCUUGCUGGACUGUAAAUGACGCUGAGGCUCGAAAGCGUGGGGAGCAAACAGGAUUAGAUACCCCAGUAAG